rnacentral:lncRNA from 1 species
GUGGCAAACAAUCCGACAUCGGCCAGUGGAAAAGGAUAAUGAUGGACUGCGGGGCAACUAAGGUCAACCACAAAACCCAAUUUAAAAUGAAAAAGUGUGGUCAGUCAGGAUGAACUUGGUGGGACAGAUUUAAAUAAAGGUAGUACGUUUUCUCAGUGGUGCUUGGACAGCUAUUUUGGAAAAUUGAAAUACGUACAUUUUAUUUCUUGUUUAAUUAUUUUGUUUUUUUUUUUAGUUUUGCUCCCUACCCCUCUGUGCUGUUCGGUGCCAGCCUGGUUAUUUAUGUCUGAACAAAGAAGCAAACUUCCUUUGCUGAGCGCUCCUGGGAGAAGAGUAACCUUCAGUUGAAAGAAACAGCCCUGACCCCUCUAACUGGGGGCUCACUUGUAAAUGUACUCUCUUCACUACGGGGAUCCACCGGCAACUACCCUGGGGCCUCCCUCUUUUCAGCUCUUUUCAAAUAAACGCAACCUCUUGUGCUUCAGCUGGUGACGGGUCUCUUUGGAAGCCACGUCUGCUCGGUUCGAGAUGGGCCUCCGUGAGGGAAAAGGCAUUGUCUUCUCUUUGCCCCUUUCAACUACUUCCUGAGGAAAGUCUGGGUCAGGGAGAUACAGCGAACUCCUUUCACUGGACGCCGGGCCUUCGUGCUUCCCAAAAACCUUUGUGUUCUCCAG